UGGGGAAUAUUGCACAAUGGGCGCAAGCCUGAUGCAGCCAUGCCGCGUGUGUGAAGAAGGCCUUCGGGUUGUAAAGCACUUUCAGCGGGGAGGAAGGCGGUGAGGUUAAUAACCUCAUCGAUUGACGUUACCCGCAGAAGAAGCACCGGCUAACUCCGUGCCAGCAGCCGCGGUAAUACGGAGGGUGCAAGCGUUAAUCGGAAUUACUGGGCGUAAAGCGCACGCAGGCGGUUUGUUAAGUCAGAUGUGAAAUCCCCGGGCUCAACCUGGGAACUGCAUCUGAUACUGGUCAGCUAGAGUCUUGUAGAGGGGGGUAGAAUUCCAUGUGUAGCGGUGAAAUGCGUAGAGAUGUGGAGGAAUACCGGUGGCGAAGGCGGCCCCCUGGACAAAGACUGACGCUCAGGUGCGAAAGCGUGGGGAGCAAACAGG
rnacentral:rRNA from 1 species